UCCUCACUCUGCAGUCAGAUUGCCCUCUCACCCUCAGCAGGACCCCACAUCCCACAUUACUGGCAAAGUGAAGAGGAUUCAAGAUGGCAACAGUGCUCAAAGGGAAGGAAGAUAAUUAAAAUGGAAGACAGAGCCAUCAAAAACCAUGUGGAGGAAAGUCACUACAUGAGCCUAGACUGAAAGAAUGUACACAGGCAGAUAUAAAUGCCUAUUUCAUUUAACGUAUUUUGCUUAGGAUCUCCUUGUUAUAAAACCUUGGCUUUUGGUCAAAUAACACAGACCAGUAAGAAAUGAGGUUGGAAGAUGGGAAUAUUUAGGAGCAGUAGGAAUGGUAAGUUCAUAUUCCCUGAGGGAGCAACAUUCCUGACACAACUGAGGAAUAACAAAGAAGAAUCACAAGAGAGAAUAAGAGUGAGAGUUGCAGGAGAUGCGGUCAGAAAAGAAACAGGGUCCAGUUCAUUUUUCUUUCUUUUGAGACAGAGUUUCGCUUUUGUUGCCCAGGCUGGGGUGCAAAGGUACAGUCUCUGCUCACUGCAACUUCUGCCUCU
rnacentral:lncRNA from 10 species